rnacentral:rRNA from 1 species
GACCGGCCACACUGGGACUGAGACACUGCCCAGACUCCUACGGGAGGCUGCAGUCGAGAAUCAUUGUCAAUGCACGAAAGUGUGAACAUGCGACGCCGCGUGGAGGACGAAUGCCUUCGGGUUGUAAACUCCUGUCCUGAGGGAGUAAGUGUACGACGGCUAAUACCCGCUGUACUUGAUAGUACCUCAGAAGAAAGUCACGGCUAACUCUGUGCCAGCAGCCGCGGUAAUACAGAGGUGGCAAGUGUUGUUCGGAUUUACUGGGCGUAAAGGGUUCGCAGGCGGUCCUGUGUGUCAGAUGUGAAAAUCCACAGCUUAACUGUGGAACUACAUUUGAAACUACAGGACUCGAGUACAGCAGGGGAGAGGGGAAUUCAUGGUGUAGCGGUGAAAUGCGUAGAUAUCAUGAAGAACACCGGCGGCGAAAGCGCCUCUCUGGGCUGAUACUGACGCUCAUGGACGAAAGCCGGGGGAGCGAAGAGGAUUAGAUACCCUCGUAGUCCCGGCCAUAAACGGUGUGCACUUGAUGUGGGAGGAUUACCCCCUUCCGUGUCGGAGCUAACGCGUUAAGUGCACCGCCUGGGAAGUACGGCCGCAAGGUUAAAACUCAAAGGAAUUGACGGGGGCCCGCACAAGCGGUGGAGCAUGUGGCUUAAUUCGAUGCAACGCGAAGAACCUUACCAGGGCUUGACAUGAUACUGCAUCCGACCUGAAAGGGACGGAGCCUUCGAGGGUGUAUCACAGGUGCUGCAUGGCUGUCGUCAGCUCGUGCCGUGAGGUGUUGGGUUAAGUCCCGCAACGAGCGCAACCCUUGUGUUUAGUUGCCAGCACGUAAUGGUGGGAACUCUAAACAGACUGCCUGUGAAAGCAGGAGGAAGGUGGGGAUGACGUCAAGUCAGCAUGGUCCUUAUGUCCUGGGCUGCACACGUGCUACAAUGGGCGGUACAGAAGGAAGCAAUACCGCGAGGUGGAGCAAAUCCUCAAAACCGCCCUCAGUUCGGAUUGGAGUCUGAAAUUCGACUCCAUGAAGCUGGAAUCGCUAGUAAAGGCGUAUCAGCAAUGACGCCUUGAAUACGUUCCCGGGCCUUGUACACACCGCCCGUCACAUCAUGGAAGUCAGCUGCACCCGAAGUCGCUGAUCCAACCCGUCCAGGGAGGAAGGCGCCGAAGGUGUGGCCGAUAACUGGGAUGAAGU